UACGGAGGAUGCGAGCGUUAUCCGGAUUUAUUGGGUUUAAAGGGUGCGCAGGCGGCACGGCAAGCCGGCGGUCAAAUCGCGGGGCUCAACCCCGCCCAGCCGUCGGAACUGCCGGGCUAGAGUGGGCGAGAAGUGCGCGGAAUGCGUGGUGUAGCGGUGAAAUGCAUAGAUAUCACGCAGAACUCCGAUUGCGAAGGCAGCGCACCGGCGCCCUACUGACGCUCAGGCAGGAAAGCGUGGGUAUCGAACAGG
rnacentral:rRNA from 1 species